GAGUCGGCCAGACAGUCGCUGCCUGCGUAAGCAGGGGGAGGAAAGUCCGGGCUUCAUAGGGCAGGGUGCCAGGUAACGCCUGGGGGGUGUGAACCCACGACCAGUGCAACAGAGAGCAAACCGCCGAUGGGUAUCUUCGGAUAUCACAGGUAAGGGUGAAAGGGUGCGGUAAGAGCGCACCGCGCGGCUGGCAACAGUUCGUGGCACGGUAAACUCCACUCGAAGCAAGACCAAAUAGGUUCCCUGUUAUCCUUGAGGUACAAGGCGCGGCCCGCGCUGGGAACGGGUAGGUUGCUGGAGCCUGUGAGCGAUUGCAGGCCUAGACGAAUGACUGUCCACGACAGAACCCGGCUUAUCGGCUGACUCCA
rnacentral:RNase_P_RNA from 1 species